GACGUAGGGGGCCAGCGUUGUUCGGAAUUACUGGGUGUAAAGGGUUCGUAGGCGGUGCGGCAAGUCGGGAGUGAAAUCUCUGGGCUUAACCCAGAGGCUGCUUCCGAAACUGCUGUGCUUGAGUGUGGGAGAGGCGCGUGGAAUUGCAGGUGUAGCGGUGAAAUGCGCAGAUAUCGGGAGGAACACCAAUGGCGAAGGCAGCUCGCUGGGACGUUACUGACGCUGAGACGCGAAAGCGUGGGGAGCAAACAGG
rnacentral:rRNA from 1 species